rnacentral:rRNA from 1 species
CAUGCAAGUCGAACGGAAAGGCCCUUCGGGGCACUCGAGUGGCGAACGGGUGAGUAACACGUGGGUGAUCUGCCCUGCACUUUGGGAUAAGCCUGGGAAACUGGGUCUAAUACCGAAUAGGACCGCAUGCUUCAUGGUGUGUGGUGGAAAGCUUUUGCGGUGUGGGAUGGGCCCGCGGCCUAUCAGCUUGUUGGUGAGGUAAUGGCUUACCAAGGCGACGACGGGUAGCCGGCCUGAGAGGGUGACCGGCCACACUGGGACUGAGAUACGGCCCAGACUCCUACGGGAGGCAGCAGUGGGGAAUAUUGCACAAUGGGCGCAAGCCUGAUGCAGCGACGCCGCGUGAGGGAUGACGGCCUUCGGGUUGUAAACCUCUUUCGCCAGGGACGAAGCGCAAGUGACGGUACCUGGAGAAGAAGGACCGGCCAACUACGUGCCAGCAGCCGCGGUAAUACGUAGGGUCCGAGCGUUGUCCGGAAUUACUGGGCGUAAAGAGCUCGUAGGUGGUUUGUCGCGUUGUUCGUGAAAACUCACA